AUGAGAUUCCAAGAGCAUUAGUCACUUGAUAGCUUGUGUGAUGAACAACAAAGCCGGGGCCAGCUAAGUCCUUUCGGAUACACUGAAGGAAGGGCGCAGACAAAAGGCUGAGGCUGCCGCCUGAUAUCCAAGAGCAAAUGACAACUCUUAAAACUCGCCCUGCUCCGAACUGCUCAAGAAAAUAUGAAAGUAAUUUUCAAAGCGCAUGGCUUGACGCUUCUCUCUUAAAAGAAAAUCCUCCCCAGAGCCUCUGAUUAAAGAAGGGCGUAAUCACUCUUUCUGAUUCACUCUGAUUUCACCUCAAAGGAGACCUGAGGUUUCUUUAUACCAAGUUGACUCUUACUUCAAACUAGAGGCAGAGGAGGAAAAGAAAAGUCAGUUUGAGCAGCCUCUCCCAAAAAGCUCAGAACGUCAGGUUAUUUAUAAGAGUUAAACUGAACCUUUAAAUACAGAAAUUGCCAGCCUCUAUCUGACGCAGCGUGCAAGGCGAGGACACAGGUCUUGUACAACUCUGAGCUUUGCUGGAGCAUUUGCAGGGAUGCACCCCCAGCUCCCCGCAGAGCCUGAGAGAGAGUGGCCAGCCAAGAUACCAGCGGGACCAGGAUUCACCUGCGUGCCCAGAUACGGGCCGAAAAAACAUUGCACGCCAGGCAGACCUGCUGAGACCCAGGGAGGGACUUCUAGAGCUCCCUGGGGAGCCAAGCUCUACCUGGAAACGCUUGGCAGACACAUCCAAUGAGGUUCCCACAGCCCACAGCCUUAGUCAGCACCUGGUCGGUGGAGUGACUCAGAAAUCGGGAGCGAGGAGGGGCUUCAGAUUUUCUGAACCCACCGCCAGUACGUAAGUCACAUGAUCAACCAAAGCUAGAGCCUGCUCAGAACCACUGGCAGGAGCUGUCUGCCUUUGUCUUGCUUUUGUUAUCUUACAGAACCAGCACCGGGAGGAACAGCUUUUUGCUUUCCAGAUUUCCCCCCACCCGACCCCCACCUCCAGCAGCAGGCUGGGUGAUAACGUU